GUCGUUACAGCCCCGGCAGCUCAGGGCCCUUAUUAGCAAUGGCGUUAUUAGCAGGAGCAGCUCCGCUCCGCGGCCCCGCGGCUCCCAGCGCGGGCAUUUCCGCCGGGAGGCGGAGGGGGAGGAGGGCACCGCGCAACGGCGAGGUUCCGGCUGCCGGCCCUGAGCUGCCCCCCCCGGCCUCACAGCUCACAUUCACCUCCAAUGCUUCUCGGGCACCCGCUCCGUGAGUGCUGCGGGAGGAUGCGAAGAAUGCGCCUUCGUGGCUUUGCUUAUCCCUAUCAACUGGAGGAGAACCACAAGCAUAAUCAGACAGAGACAAAGUGGGGAACCGUUGUGUGCUUAUCCCGUGUUACCAACGGUAACGCUAUUAAUCGACCAACAACAACAAAAAAAUCACUAAUUCCACAUCUUUAAGCAAAACUACGUUACGUAAAUAUCUACAACCAGAAAGAGAGAGAGAAAUUCAGAGCUUGAAAGAGCGAAGCGGGCCCGGGAAAGGCUGCAGGAACCGAGGAGGCUCACACAUGGCCCUCAGCGUUAGCGUGGCUCUCUUCCGCUCCCCCCGCAGCCCCGAAGCAGCUAUUAAGAGUUUAAGGACAUACUGAGAACGUCUAAAAUCGUUAAUCCGUACAGGUGCGGAUGACUACAGCCUAGGAAAAUGAUACUGGCUCUUUAAACCAUCAAGAUGUGUUUAUAGGUUCAUCAAGAGAAAUUAAAGUUGGCUGUGAGCUCCCGAAUCCUAUUCUCUCUGUUCAUUUUCUUCAGUUUCAUUCUGCGGUUCUGAAACCAG
rnacentral:lncRNA from 1 species